AGGACGAACGCUGGCGGCGUGCUUAACACAUGCAAGUCGAGCGGAAAGGCCCUUCGGGGUACUCGAGCGGCGAACGGGUGAGUAACACGUGAGUAACCUGCCCUGGACUUUGGGAUAACCCUCGGAAACGGGGUCUAAUACCGGAUAUGACUUUCCUCGCAUGGGGAUUGGUGGAAAGUUUUUCGGUGGGGGAUGGGCUCGCGGCCUAUCAGCUUGUUGGUGGGGUAAUGGCCUACCAAGGCGACGACGGGUAGCC
rnacentral:rRNA from 1 species